rfam:Triticum aestivum genome assembly, contig: Triticum_aestivum_CS42_TGACv1_scaffold_250294_3DL
AUACCUUUCUAGGCCUUUUGGCUAAGAUCAAGUGUAGUAUCUGUUCUUAUCAGUUUAAUAUUUGAUAUGUGGGUCAUGUGUUCCCAACGAUAUUAAAUUUAUUUUUUGUGGGGAGGGCCCAUCACAGUGGUUUGCCACUGGUACCCUCAGGGGUUGCCCAGUGCGUUGCACUAUUGCCUGGGCAGGCGCACCCCAA